rnacentral:piRNA from 1 species
UCAAUGGAUCUGCAGGCUGCAA